rnacentral:rRNA from 1 species
GAUGAACGCUGGCGGCGUGCCUAAUACAUGCAAGUCGAGCGAACAGAUGAGGAGCUUGCUCCUCUGACGUUAUCGGCGGACGGAUGAGUAACACGUGGAUAACCUACCUAUAAGACUGGGAUAACUUCGGGAAACCGGAGCUAAUACCGGAUAAUAUAUUGAACCACAUGGUUCAAUAGUGAAAGACGGUUUUGCUGUCACUUAUAGAUGGAUCCGCGCCGCAUUAGCUAGUUGGUAAGGUAACGGCUUACCAAGGCAACGAUGCGUAGCCGACCUGAGAGCGUGAAUCGCUAGACGGUAUGUGAGACACGGCACAGACUCCGACGGUAGGCAGCAGUAGGGAAUCUUACGCAAGGGGGGAAAGCCUGACGUAGCAACGUCGCGUGAGUGAUGAAGGUCUCCUGAUCGGAAAACUCUGUUAUUCGGGAAGAACAAAUGUGUAAGUAACUAUGCACGUCUUGACGGUACCUAAUCAGAAAGCCACGGCUAACUCCGUG